AAUCGUUUUUCCCUUCUCUUGAUAAAACACACCCAGAUAAAUUGGUCAGAGGCAGAGGUUUUGCUGCAGUCUAACGUUCCAAACAAACUUGUUUCCCAACAGCAGGAGACAUCCGGAAUUGGUUCUUUUUAGCCCUUGCCACAGUUUCAUAGUUACAGAGACUUCACUCCACAGGAUUUCCUUGGUUGAAAGGUGGUUCCUUCCCUUCAGUAGCAAUCAUCCUAUACUUUCCAGUCACCAUGCAAUCAAUUCUGGGACUCGUCUUCUUUUCUUUACUCCUGACUACAGGCACUGGAUUACAGUGUGAAACAUGCAGUACUAUGGGCGACACAUGUUCUGGCAGUAAAAUGACAUGUCCUUCUAAUACAGAUGCCUGUAUUAGUAUGGUGACUGCAAGCAAAAUGGGAGACAUAGAAAUGAACGUCGCAACAAAGUCAUGUUCCAUAAUGUCUGAGUGUAAAAAAUUGAAAGGCGAGGUGGGGAAGACUAUUACCUCUCAAGUUAUGGGCAUUCAAGUUGGAGCGGUUAUUAAAAAUGUGGAAUGCAGCAAGGCCCCCGUCUCUUCUGCUUCCCUCCUGCUGACCGUCUCUGGGCUCCUUCUGAUGAAGUUCCUCUUCUAACACAGCUCUUGCACCUGAGUCAGCCUAGAAAAGGGCUCUUUGUCAUCUGCAUAUAUGCACUCUUCCCUGAAGAUUUCAAUAUAUUGCUUACCAUUGGGGAUGGGGAGGGAAUUAAAACCAAAUAAUAAUUAAAAAAAGAAUUGAAAUCCAA